rnacentral:rRNA from 1 species
AGAGUUUGAUCAUGGCUCAGGAUGAACGCUAGCGGCAGGCUUAAUACAUGCAAGUCGAGGGGCAGCAGGGUGUAGCAAUACAUCGCUGGCGACCGGCAAACGGGUGCGGAACACGUACGCAACCUUCCUUCAAGUGGGGAAUAGCCCAGAGAAAUUUGGAUUAAUACCCCGUAAGAUGGUGGUCUGGCAUCAGGCAGCCAUCAAAGCUGAGGCGCUUAAAGAUGGGCGUGCGUCUGAUUAGGUAGUUGGUGAGGUAAUGGCUCACCAAGCCGACGAUCAGUAACUGGCGUGAGAGCGCGACCAGUCACACGGGCACUGAGACACGGGCCCGACUCCUACGGGAGGCAGCAGUAAGGAAUAUUGGUCAAUGGACGCAAGUCUGAACCAGCCAUGCCGCGUGAAGGAUGAAGGUCCUCUGGAUUGUAAACUUCUUUUAUGUGGGAAGAAACCACCUUUUUCUAAGGGUGUUGACGGUACCAUAGGAAUAAGCACCGGCUAACUCCGUGCCAGCAGCCGCGGUAAUAC